rnacentral:misc_RNA from 1 species
GAUGAAGAACGCAGCGAAAUGCGAUAAGUAAUGUGAAUUGCAGAAUUCAGUGAAUCAUCGAAUCUUUGAACGCACAUUGCGCCCGCCAGUAUUCUGGCGGGCAUGCCUGUUCGAGCGUCAUUACAACCCUCAGGCCCCCGGGCCUGGCGUUGGGGAUCGGCGGAGCCCCCCGUGGGCACACGCCGUCCCCCAAAUACAGUGGCGGUCCCGCCGCAGCUUCCAUCGCGUAGUAGCUAACACCUCGCGACUGGAGAGCGGCGCGGCCACGCCGUAAAACACCCAACUCUUCUGAAGUUGACCUCGAAUCAGGUAGGAAUACCCGCUGAACUUAAGCAUAUCAGUAAGCGGAGGA